UAGGGAAUAUUGCAAAAUGGGCGAAAGCCCGAUGCAGCAACGCCGCGUGGGCGAUGAAGGCCUUCGGGUCGUAAAGCCCUUUUUGAGGGGAUGAGGAAGGACAGUACCCUCAGAAUAAGCCUCGGCUAACUACGUGCCAGCAGCCGCGGUAAAACGUAGGAGGCGAGCGUUAUCCGGAUUUACUGGGCGUAAAGCGCGUGCAGGCGGAUUGGAGAGUUGGAUGUGAAAGCUCCCGGCUUAACUGGGAGGGGUCGUUCAAUACUUCCAGUCUUGAGUGCAGUAGAGGGAAGUGGAAUUCCGGGUGUAGUGGUGAAAUGCGUAGAUAUCCGGAGGAACACCAGUGGCGAAAGCGGCUUCCUGGACUGUAACUGACGCUCAGACGCGAAAGCUAGGGUAGCAAACG
rnacentral:rRNA from 1 species